CCAGACUCCUACGGGAGGCAGCAGUGGGGAAUAUUGCACAAUGGGCGGAAGCCUGAUGCAGCAACGCCGCGUGCGGGAUGACGGCCUUCGGGUUGUAAACCGCUUUCGCCUGUGACGAAGCGUGAGUGACGGUAAUGGGUAAAGAAGCACCGGCUAACUACGUGCCAGCAGCCGCGGUGAUACGUAGGGUGCGAGCGUUGUCCGGAUUUAUUGGGCGUAAAGGGCUCGUAGGUGGUUGAUCGCGUCGGAAGUGUAAUCUUGGGGCUUAACCCUGAGCGUGCUUUCGAUACGGGUUGACUUGAGGAAGGUAAGGGAGAAUGGAAUUCCUGGUGGAGCGGUGGAAUGCGCAGAUAUCAGGAGGAACACCAGUGGCGAAGGCGGUUCUCUGGGCCUUUCCUGACGCUGAGGAGCGAAAGCGUGGGGAGCGAACAGGCUUAGAUACCCUGGUAGUCCACGCUGUAAACGGUGGGUACUAGGUGUGGGGUCCAUUCCACGGGUUCCGUGCCGUAGCUAACGCUUUAAGUACCCCGCCUGGGGAGUACGGCCGCAAGGCUAAAACUCAAAGGAAUUGACGGGGGCCCGCACAAG
rnacentral:rRNA from 1 species